rnacentral:rRNA from 1 species
GUCCUUUUGUUAAUAAUUUAAGGUCUGACCUGCCCACUGAAAUUUUAAAUGGCCGUGGUAUUUUGACCGUGCUAAGGUAGCAUAAUCAUUAGUUUUUUAAUUAAAAACUGGAAUGAAAGGUCGAAUAAAAAAAUAGCUGUCUCUGUUAAAUUUAAGUAGAAUUUUAUUUUUAAGUUAAAAAGCUUAAAUAAUAUUAAAAGACGAGAAGACCCUAUAGAGUUUAAUUUUUUAAUAAAAAUUAUAUUUUAGUAUUUAUUUAUUUAUUUUAUUGGAAAAUUUAAUUGGGGUGAUUGAAAAAUUUAAUUAACUUUUUUUAUUUAAAAACAUUAAUUUAUGAAUAUAUGAYCCAAUAUUUUUGAUUAUAAGAUAAAAUUACCUUAGGGAUAACAGCGUAAUUUUUUUAUAAAGUUCAUAUUAAAAAAAAAGAUUGCGACCUCGAUGUUGGAUUAAAAUAAAUUUUUGGUGUAGAAGCUAAAAUAUUAGGUCUGUUCGACCUUUAAAAUUUUAC